GCAGUCGUGGCCGAGUGGUUAAGGCGAGGGACUAUCCAUUGGGGUCCCCCGCACAGGUUCGAAUACUGUCGACUGCG
rnacentral:tRNA from 1 species